GAAAUGCGAUAAUUAAUGUGAAUUGCAGAAUUCAGUGAAUCAUCGAGUCUUUGAACGCACAUUGCGCCCCCUGGUAUUCCGGGGGGCAUGCCUGUCCGAGCGUCAUUGCUGCCCUCAAGCACGGCUUGUGUGUUGGGCUUCCGUCCCUGGCAUCGGGGACGGGCCCAAAAGGCAGUGGCGGCACCAUGUCUGGUCCUCGAGCGUAUGGGGCUUUGUCACCCGCUCCCGUAGGUCCAGCUGGCAGCUAGCCUCGCAACCAAUCUUUUUAACCAGGUUGACCUCGGAUCAGGUAGGGAUACCCGCUGAACUUAAGC
rnacentral:misc_RNA from 1 species